rnacentral:lncRNA from 1 species
UAAAGUUGGACCUAACAUAGUUCAAAGUCCAACUAUAAUGCCAACUCUGAAGCUUGUUGUCAAGGAAUGUGCGGGUCUACCUCUUACAAUUAUCGUGGUAGCUGGUACCAUGAAAGGAGAAUAUAACCCUCGUAUUUGGAAAAAUGCACUCAAAGAUUUGAAAGAGAGAAUAGGGAAAGUGGAAGGAGUGGAAGCUGAGGUAAUCGAGCGCUUGAAAUUUAGUUUCGAUCACUUGAAAGAUGAGAAAGUAAAAGAUUGUUUCUUGUAUUGUGCACUAUAUCCUGAAGAUUAUGAAAUUCAUAAGGUUGAACUAAUCGAGUGUUGGAUUGUUGAGAUAUUCAUAGACGAGAUGGACACAAGACAAGAAAUGGAAGAUAAAGGCCUUACUAUUUUGAAAAGGUUGGAAGAUAACUGCUUGUUGGAAAAUAUUACCACUCAAUUUGGUUUACAUGGUAUAAAGAUGCAUGAUGCAGUGAGAGAGAUGGCAUUGUCGAUCACAAGAAUGAAUCCUCGAUAUAUGAUACAAGCAGGUUUGCAAUUAGAAGAGUUACCAGAAAAGGAGCAAUGGAGUCCGGAUAUUGAGAAAGUGUCACUUAUGUAUAACUCCAUAUCAGAAAUUUCCAUAGAUGUGCUACCCACAAAAUGCCAACUGCUCACAACCUUGUUAUUGCAGAACAACCCUAUAAAGAAGAUCCCAUAUUCUUUCUUCACAAACAUGCCUUGUCUUAGUGUUCUCAAUUUGUCCUUCACAAAGAUCGAGAGUUUACCAAAUUCCAUCUCUGAACUAAAGAACCUCACAACAUUGUUACUUCAUAGCUGUCGAGAAUUAAGAGAUCUGCCUUGUCUUUCGAGGCUUCAAGAAUUGAAGGAGUUGGAUCUUCGUUGGACUGAAAUUGAGGAAGUCCCUGAAGGCAUAGAUAUGCUGAUAAAGCUAAGAUAUCUUGAUCUUGAAGUGUUCACUCUGAAAGAGAUACCCGCUGGACUUUUACCAAAACUCGUUCACCUUCAGCACUUGAGUUUUGCUGGGAACAAUGAAAAAAUAAGUCUAAAAGCAGAGGAGUUGGAACCAUUGAAGAAGUUGGAGCUCUUUACUGGGUGUUUCGAAGACAUCAGUGAAUUUACUAAGUUCAUCUCCUCAAUGCAACAAAGUAAGAAAAGUCUCAUCAAGUACCAUUUACGGGUGGGCUCAUAUUUAAUUCCUGCGUGGAGGACUCCUGAAAUAGAUAAAAAAGUGGCAAUUGGAGGAAUCGACAAUUGGGAAGGUGAGUUAAUUAUGCACCCAAUUGAAAUUCAAGAGUUGCAUAUUACUGAGUGCGACUAUUUGAGAAGCUUAGUUGAUGACAAUUCUUCCUUCAAAAAUGCGAUUGACUUGAGGGUUUGUAGGAUUUGGGGGUGUACAGGGAUUGAGUGUGUUGUUUCCCUGUCCUCUUGUUCCUCUUCUUCCGCUCAUCCAUUUCAGAGCCUUGAGGUGUUGGAUCUUCAAUUUCUGCCAAUGUUGAGUGCCUUUAUUAUGAAAGAUGAAGGAAUUGGUUCAGCAACAACAUCAUUGGCUCCGUCUGCCACCUUUUCCCAUCUUAAGGAAAUUACGAUAUACAGCUGCUCAAGUAUGAAGACGUUGCUUCCACAUUGGUUGCUUGCAAACCUCCAAAACCUGGAAGAGAUACAUGUGGGUGCUUGUAGUCAGCUAGUAGAAAUAUUGGGAGCAGCAACAUCAGAAGUUGAAGAAAAAGGGAGUGAUACGUUAAUCAAAUUCCAUCUUCCCAAAUUGAGAGAAUUGAGACUAAGUAAGUUACCAAAUUUGAAGAGCAUUUGCAGCAAAAGUGGAGUGAUGGUUUGCGAUUCUCUCCAACUUAUCCAAGUUGUUGUUGAGUGUGAUAAACUGAAGAGAAUUCCUCCAUUUGUUCCCCUUGUUGGCACUGGGCAGCCAUUUGCAUAUGCUCCACCUUCUCUUACCAUCAGGUCAAGCACAGAAUGGUGGGAAUGGUUGGAGUGGGAUGACCAUCCAAACUUUAAAAAUGUUCUUCGCUUCAACCCCUUUGGAAACUUUUAAGGUAUCAACCAUUUAUAGUUUAGUUUAUAUUUUCUUAUUUUAUAAACCUAAUUUCUCCAUUUUAAUUCAAUUUCAGGUAUAUUUUUGAUAUUGAAGAAGAGAAAGAUAAAAGGGUUGGUGGGAAAGAAGUAGGGGGGAGGAUAGUGCAAAAGAGAGGAGAAAAGGAAUAAUGGAAGGAAGAGGUUAGGCGCAUAAAUAAGAGAUCAAACUGCCUCCACGUUUUAAACAUUGUCCCUCUCUUACCAUUCCUUCUAUUCUCUAUUUCUUCUCUAAUAUAUAUAUACACUUCCGAAAAUAACCUUCUAAAUAUUUACUAUUAAAAUAUUUAUAUUAAUCAAAAUUAUUUAAGUUGGGACAAAACUACUAUCAUAGUUUUAUUACCAAUAAAAGUUAGGAAAGUAUUGUAAAAAGACAUAAUAUUUUUUAAUUUCCAUAAUAUUUAUAAAAGAAAAUAUAAUUGGAUCCAUUCAUAUGUAAACGUAACAUAUUUCUAAAAUUAAAUAAUAUUUUAAAUUAUGAGGACUAAAUGAGAAAAUUAAAAAGGUGAAAUCCCUUUUAAAAUAAAUUAAAAACAUUAAGGGGAUUAUGUUGCAAAUAAACCCCUCCACGUUUCCCAUAUAAAAAACAUUUUCCUUUUUCUUUUAAUUUGUGAUGGAUAAGUUGGAAAAUAAAAAUAAAAAAACUUAGUUUCCUUCUUUUUUUUCUUGCUUCAUUUUGUUGUCCGACUUUUAUUUCGAAGCCAAAGGUUUAAAUUUUGUUAGUUUUAAAUACCGAAAAUAUCAUGGUUCUCAAUAAUUAUAUAGUUUGUAACGCCAGAAAAUUUACAUUUUUAAAAAAGAAAAAGUCAAAACAAGAUAUUUUUGUUGUCGAGAGAGGCAUAGAUAUAGAGAUUCUAGAUAAAAUUUCUAUCUGGCAGCUAAGUUGCAUAUUUAUGAGUGACAUACCGCCGCAUAUUGGUGUGAUUGGAUGGAUGGACUCUUGUAAUUCUAAUUGGUGAUAUUGCUUGAACGGAGAUGGUAUGUGGCAAUUAAGGGUAUGAUAUGAUAAGAUAUGGGACAUGAUUUGAUAUACUAUGAUAAGAUAAGAUAAGAUAUGAAACAUGCUAUAAUAUGAUAUGAAAACCGAUAUGACAUAAGAUAUGCUCCGAUAUGCUCACCAAAGUUCUUUGACUUCUCAAGAAAUCGGCAUACUUAGGACCAAACGAUGUGCAGAAGCUCAAAUUGGGUCUCAGUUAUUUUAGUAUGAUGGUUCAUGUUUUUAAAUUAUUCUAGACUUUCUAGAUUUUUUGGGGGGUUGUAAAUCUGUUUCUGUAUUUUGCUUUAUGUUUUGGUUUGCUUAGUUGAAUUUAGUAAUUAUUACUUAAAACUACAAAGUUUUGUGUUUUGCAAAUAUAGUCAUGAUUUUCAAAAUUUAAUACUUUAAAAUUUUCGCUGCAAAAUAAAGUAAUCAUUUAAGUGUUUUUCUAUAAUAAAAUAAAUAGUUUUAAUGAGUGUUUUCUUAAAAACUGGAAAGUGAUUUGUCAGAAUUAAUAUUGCCAAAACACAUGAUUUCAAAUUCAAUUUCUAGGUUUUUAAAUAAGCUAAUGUAAUUUCUCCAAAUAUGAUCAUAAAGUCUGGGCCGGGUUUGGGAUGUUACAAUUUUAGUCCUUAAUUUUUAUAUUUUGAUCAAAUUGACCCUAAUUUUAUAUAAAAAUUAUAAAAAAAACUCAAAAUCAUUUAUAAAAUAGACAAAUGUAUAUAAAAUUCUAGAAAAGUAAAAUCUUGAAUAUGUUGUUGAAUAACUAAAUUGCAUGAGAAAUAAAGAAAAGUAUCAUUCAAUAGAAUCCAAUAACAAAUUAGAAACAAAACAAAAUAAAAAAGCUUAGUUUCAUGCUCUUAAAGAACAUCUAGGACUGAUAUUACAGAGACUUAUAAAAUCGACCCGGAUGUCAUUCUUUUGUCAAAAGAUUACAAAAUAUACUACAAUUUUUUUUCAAACUCAUUCCAAGUUUUAAUUACAUUUAAAUUAUUUUUCAAAACCCAAAUUGUAAAAACAAAAUGUGUUUCUUCUUCCAUGGUUGAGGUGGGCUUGGACAAGGUUUUUAUGUCACGAGCUGUUUCAACUCGAAUUCAAUUUAAAUAUUAAAAAACUAUUUUUAAAUUUUAAAUUUAAUUGAGAAUAUAAAAUAUUUUUAAUAUUUUAUUAUUUUUUGAACUCUCAAAUGGACUUUUCUGGGUUGACCGAGCUGGGCUAAAAAUGGGUUAAGCUUGAAAAAUUUUAGAUUAUUUUUUAGAGUAUAUCAGGGAGUCUAAUAAUUACAAUUUUUUUAAAAGGUUUUAAUAACACUAGAAAUCUUAUCACACGCAUAUGCGUGUGAAAAUCACGUAUUUAGAACACAUAUUUGUGUUUAAAAAGAACAUACAAUAAAUAAUGAAAAGUAUGAUUCGGAACUAAUUAAUAAUAACACAUGAAAUAUGUAUGGUAUUAAAAUAAAAAUUAGAUUAAAUUGAGAUUAAAACAAAAUUUAAACACAAAAAUAGAUGAAUAUUAAAUGAAUACAAAUGUUUAUCGUUGUUUUGUCUUCAAUACUGAGUUGGUGUCAUGUUCAUUUGUGACGCUAAAUCAAUGACAUUAUUUACAUAUACAAAUAUAUGCAUGGUGUCUCCUAGUUCAAAUAUCAUUAUGGGUAAAUUUUUAUUGAUUUAUAAAAAAAUAUAAAAUGAUGAAAACACCCUCAUUAACGUAUAUCUUACUUUGCAAAUAAAAUAGUAUUUUUGGUAAUUUUCUUAUUGAGUUGGGACCCGAUUGAUGAGUGACACCAACUCAGUAAAAUGCUUAAUACAUAGUAUAGAUAAAACAAUUCAAAACUAAAAUUUUUAAAAGAAUUUAAGGUAAAAUUCAACUAUGGUUAAGUUUUCAUUUUGGUCACUUAAUUAAAAAAUGUUACAAUUUGAUCACUAAUGUUUUCGAAAUUAUUUUCUUUUUGUCACCCGCCUGUUAAGUGGCACUUGUUUCAGUUAAUAUAAUAAUAAUUCUAGUCAUCAAUUUUUAUAUUUUCUGUCAAUUUUACUCUGAUUGUGUAUAAAAAAUUAUUAAAAUUAUUAGAUUUAAUUAUUAGAUUUAAUUUCAAGUUUUAACAUAUGAUUAUGCAUUCUUAAACCCUGUUGUCCCAUACUUUUCGAUUAAUUAUUAGAUUUAAUGAUAAAUUUAGACUUUAACGUUUGAUUAUUUUAUUAAAAUUAUAAGACCUCUAACCCAUGUUUGUCGCCUGAUUGGGGUUACGAGAUAUUACCGGACAUAUAUGAAUUUUUUUUAUAACAUAAACAAAAUGAGACAAAUCAAGUAUACCAAAUUUACAUACUGAAUAAUUAAUUCAAGUACAUAGACUAACCAUUCAAGAAAAAUAAAGUGUACAUUUUACUGAUUCAAUUAAACCAAAGUACACAGUAAUUAUUCAAACAUAUAAAAUUAUUCAACAAAAUAAAUACCUAUUUUAAUGUCAUUAAUAAUUUCAGGCUUUAGCCGAAUAUACCCUAUCCUCUAAUAAGACACAUUACCUGCUCAUUAACAGAAUACACAACCAAACCAUUUUUAUUUUUAUUUUAUAAUCACCAACAUCUUCAAACUAAACAUGUUUCAAAUACACCCUAUUUAUAAAUAUAUUAUUUCCAUACACAUAAUUAUCACUUAUUAAAAUUUUAAUCAAUCUAUGCACAAGUAAUUCAAACGUAAAUAUAGCUUGAACUACAAAUUAUAAGGCUAAUCAUACCACAUUUGGCAGUACAAAUAUAUAUAUAAUAUCCCUUGACUAAUAAGUUUCAAUCCAGUACAUAUAAGUUCAUAAUAAAUUAAGUACAAAGUAAAAUACUCAUCAACUAAUACAUUCAUUACUCAUACUUAAAUUAAUUUGGUUAAAUUAUAUCAAAUUAAUAUAGUACCACCUACUAAACGAACCAUGCAUAUAUAUAUAUAUAUAUAUAAAUGUGUAUAACAAUUUAUGCACUUAACUAUAAAACCUAACACGUGAUCGAACCAUAACCGAAUAUAUAUAUAUAUAUAUAUAUAUAUAUAUAUAUAUAUAAUACCAAAACCAAAUCACAACAUUCAAGUAUGACAAACUCACUAAUACCUAUUCACACUUACAUAUUCCACUUAACAUCAACCAAUAUAUAUAUAUUUAUACAUUCGAUCUUUGAUUUAUCUUAUAACCGAAUCACCCAACACAAAUGCAUAAUAACUACAUACCUAAUAUAAACUUAAACUAUAUCCGAAUAUAAACAAGCAAAAUAUCCAUUUUUACUUAUUUUACCAUAUGCAUCAAUGCCAAACCCAAACAAAAAGGAGAUAAGCCAUUUUCACAUGGCUAUUAGUUACACAUACACAUUAGUUCUAAAAUCAACAUAUUAACUAUGCUAUACAUGCCAUAUACUUAAGAUCAACUUAGUAAAGUACCGAAGGAAACUGUCGAUAGUGUGAUAAGUCUUGCUGACGAUCCCCGAGCUCGUAACCACUUCCAAAAUCUAUAAAACAAAGAAUAAAUAUACACACAGUAAGCUUUAGCAGCUUAGUAAGUCAUAAGCAAAUAUUUUUCACAUUAACAUUAUUAUCAACCAAUUUACCAAGCUACUAAAUAAAAUAUUUAUAUAUACAUUUAGCUUUAUAAAGUCGUAUGAAUAAACACUUAAAUACAUGUAUCUUAUUCAUGUCAUAAAUUAUAAUAGUACUAAUAGACCCAAAUCUCUAAUAAAUACAAACUUACUUACACAUUAUACAUUUAUCAAUUAAUCUUGAAUCAUCAAUUCAAUAUAAACUUACCUUAGCUUCGUUGAACUUUAAAAUUUGUUUCCACACUCGGUCUUUAAUUAACAUUGCCCGUUGAACCGUUCGGAAUUAAAAAGGAUACGUGGAAUAGUCGGAAAGCUCGUACAAUGCCAACGUCCCAGACGUGGUCUUACAUGUAUUCACAAAUCGAUGUCACUAUCCCAGACAGAGUCUUACUCAUAAACACAAAUCAAUGCCAACGUCCCAGACGUGGUCUUACACGAAAACGCAGAUCGGAAAUCCUAUGUCAUGACAUAAGUAUCCUAUCUAUUCCUAGGGUUCGUACAGGGCUUUUGAAUACAGAAACCGGAUCAAAUCGAACUCAAAAAUACAUCUCUCUAAUUCAAUACACAUUCGGCCAAACACAAUAUAUUCAUAAAAAAAAUUCAUUCAUAAUGUGAUAUUUAUAUAUUAUCAAAUUUAACAACCAUUAAAUGCUUAGAGACUUACCUCGGAUGUCGUCGACUAUUAAAUUAGCUACUCGACCACCUUUGUCUUUCCCCGAUCCAAAAUAGAUUUCUUUAAUUCUUGAUUUAAACAUAUUCAAAUUAAGCUUGUUUAAACACCAUUCUAUUCAAUUUAACCUAAAAACACAUAAAUGGGAAAAUUACAAUUUUUCCUCUAACAUUUCACACUUUUUACAAUUUAGUCCUUUUUGCUCAAAACACAAAAUAUGCAAAAUUUAACUACACUCCUUUAGAGCCGAAUAUUCCUAGGGUCUUUACAAGCUCAUACAUUUCAUUUAUUUCAUAUUUUAGCCCCUCAAAAAUUUAUUUUUACAAUUUAACCCUAAUUACUCAAAUUCAUCAAAAAUUCAAAGACAAAACAUGUUAAUCUUUCACAUAUCUUUCAUAUUUCAUCAUCAACUAUCACAAAGCUCAAGCAUUCAUCAAUGGUACAUUUCAAAAUCAUCAACAAUUCACAAAAUUAAAGCAUGGAUUUUGAAGUAUUAGAAGCAACGAUCUCAAAAACGUAAAAAUUAUCGAAAACCAAACAAAAACGAACCUUGAAUUUAAGCUUGAAGAUGGCCGAAACUUAACUAAGCUUUCAUGGCUUUCUUCCUUCUUGGUUUCGGCUAAGACAGAUGAUAAUAAUCUAAUUUUUUUAUGCUUUUAACUAUCUUAUAUUAUAGUAUUUGUUAAUUACUAAUUUAACCUUAUUUAAAUAAAUAUUUAUAACAUAUAUAUUAAGGAUAAUGUUGUCAUAUACCACGCACUAACUAAAUUUUUGUCUAAUUACAUCUUUAGACCUCCCACUUAAAAACACAACAAAAAAUAGGUACUUUUAAUAUUUAACCUCUAAAUUUUAUUUUACGCGAUUAAACCCUUUUCAUCGAAUUGAACCUUCAAACGAUUAAAUUUCUAUACCAAAUUUUCACACAUAUAACUUAACAUAUAAUAGACACUAAAAAUAAUAUUAAAAUAUUUUUCUGACUCAGAUUUUUGGUCCCAAAACCACUAUGUCCGAUUAAGGUCGAAAUCAAGUUGUUACAAAAAUGGCCCUAAUUGUGUUUUUGAGUAUUUUUUUCUAUAAACUUUUGUUCUUUUUUUCAAUCUUCUUUUUUAAAUAGAUUUAAUGAAAGUACCUUAAAAAAUUUAACUUCGAUAAAUGGAAUUUCAUAUGUCGAAUAUAUUUAAUGAGAUAUAAUUUAUUAGUUAGAUAACUCAAUAAGAUAAUUACAUAUAAAAAAUAUUAAAAUAAAUAAUACAUUAAAUUGAAAAAAAAUCUUAAAUUAAAGAAAAUAAAUGUAAUUAUUUUUUUUAAAAAUUAAGUCGGUAAAAAAACUUUUCAGUAAACAAAGUAUGAAAAAUUGAAAACUUUUGAAAGAAAAGAAAUAUUGAAACAAAGGUUGAUGGUAAAGAAAAGCUCAAAAAUAGAAUUAGGGUCAUUUUGACAAAACAAACAAAAUUAGUGACCAAAUUUAUCAUUAAACCUAAUUUUUAUUAUUAUUAUUAUUUAAUGCCAAUUAUAAUGGCUGACAGCCAAGAAAAGAGUCAAAAAAAGACGGAUUUCUUACUCAUAUUCACAACAUUCGUCUUUUUAUACAUGUAAUUAUUAAUUAUUUUCUCCUUCACUCACUUUCCCAUUAAUUCCUAUCACAAUUUUGCUUAUUUCUAUUUUCACCUUCUUCUUCACUCUUUUUAAUUUCUUUUCAUCUCCAAGGUCUAUCACUAAUUUUUAAGCAUCCAGUCAAGGUAAUUUUCUCUCAUUUGCUUCAUUCAUGACUAUACAAUGGUUGUUUUUUAUUAUCAGCUACUGUUAUAGCAGCUAGCUUUGUAAGAUAGUCAAGGUAAUAAGAUCUGAAGCAAUGGUUUCCUCUAGUGAUUAUCAACAGUUUUAGAUUUUGAGACAGGAUGAUCAGCAGACAUAAUCUACUAUAGAUGCAAAUUAAUACGAAAAGAGCUAUGCUUUGUAGGAUAGUCAAGGUAAUAAGAUCUGAAGUAGUGAUUUCCUCUACUGAUUAUCAAUUUUAAGACAGGAUGAUCAGCAGACAUAGUCUACUAUAGAUAUAAAUUAAUACGAAAAGAGCUACACAGAAGCAAUAUAAUGUUGAAAUCUCAUGCUGUUGAACAUUUUACCUCUUAAUAUUCUGUAAUGAACUCUUGCACACUUGAAUCUAGCAUGUUAUAUAGUUUGAGAGGUUGAUUCUGGAUAUACAAUGGUGACCAGAAUUUCAUCAUGUUUCUGUCUGCCACCCAUCCAUAGCUCCAUCUAAUAAACGCCACUGCUUGAAACUUGCAUUCAUGUUUUCCUUUUCAUGCUUACACUGACAUAUCAAUACUUCAUAAAAUAUCCAAUUCAUUCACAGAUUUUCAUUCUCUGCUACUGUUAUAUAUGAUUGCAUUGCAGGGACAUAGCAAUGGAGUACGUAGAGCCUGUUGUUGGCAUUGCAAAUUGUCUCGGCACUCCUGUUUGCAAAUAUUUGCAAUAUCACAGGAAGCUGAACGACUAUGUGAGAAACUUCAAGAGGAUCAGAGAGGAAUUGAAUUGCAAAAUGGAAGAUAUAGAGCUGCAAUUGAAAGCAGAGCUUCUUCGUCCUCUGGGGAAGAUACCAAAGAAGGGAGUUGAAAAUUGGUUGAAAGAUGUGAAAGAGAUGAUUAGGGAAGCACAAGCUGUUGAAAACAAAGUCAGUAACGGGAGAUAUCUCUGUCGUGCUUGCAACGGGAAGCUGGUUGAUGAAAGGACUCGAGAAAUGAAGGAAUUUCUUUAUAAGGCUCCUAAUGCCUCUAAAGGUCUUGCCAUAGAUGGUCCAAGUGGUGGGUUGCCGCUGCUAACAUCAGAACUAGUUGGAGAGGAAGCUGUCAGAAAUGAGAUUUGGGCAUGUUUGAUGCAGGAGGAGGUGAGCAAGAUUGGAGUUUGGGGGAUGGGCGGUGUGGGUAAAACCACUAUCAUGAAGCACAUCCACAAUGAUCUUUUGAAAGAACAAAGAUUCGAAAGGGUAAUCUGGGUUACCAUAUCAAAGGAGUUCAAUGUAAUGAAGGUACAAGAUAAUAUUGCAAGUGCGUUGAAGGCGAAGGAAUAUUUAGACAAAGAAGAGGACAAGGUUAGACGAGCAGCAAUCUUGUCAGAAAUGCUGAAGAACGCAGGAAAGCAUGUUCUAAUCCUAGAUGAUGUGUGGGAUAAAAUCUCUCUAGAGGAAGUUGGGAUCCCCAAGGCAAGUGGCGGCAAUGGCUGCAAGUUGGUGUUGACAACCCGUUCGGAGCAUGUCUGUAAGUAUAUGGGUUGUAAGGUGAUAAAAGUGAGGCCCCUUUCAGAAGAAGAGGCAUUGAUACUAUUCUUGAGUAAAGUUGGACCUAACAUAGUUCAAUGUCCAACUAUAAUGCCAACUCUGAAGCUUGUUGUCAAGGAAUGUGCGGGUCUACCUCUUACAAUUGUCGUGGUAGCUGGUACCAUGAAAGGAGAAUAUAACCCUCGUAUUUGGAAAAAUGCACUCAAAGAUUUGAAAGAGAGAAUAGGGAAAGUGGAAGGAGUGGAAGGUGAGGUAAUCGAGCGCUUGAAAUUCAGUUUCGAUCACUUGAAAGAUGAGAAAGUAAAAGAUUGCUUCUUGUAUUGUGCAUUAUAUCCUGAAGAUUAUGAAAUUCGUAAGGUUGAACUAAUCGAGUGUUGGAUUGCUGAGAUAUUCAUAGACAAGAUGGACACAAGACAAGAAAUGGAAGAUAAAGGCCUUACUAUUUUGAAAAGGUUGGAAGAUAACUGCUUGUUGGAAAAUAAUAGCACUCAAUUUGGUUUACAUGGUGUAAAGAUGCAUGAUGCAGUGAGAGACAUGGCAUUGUCG